rnacentral:misc_RNA from 1 species
UCGGGUGUCCAGGCGCCGGAUCUGAGCGAACGUCUCAGCCGGUUAGCUCAUGGGUGGAACAUUGACAUUGGUGUGGAGCCGAACGGCUCGAACUCAGUACGCCUCCUCGGAGGAAGGAACGGUUCGGAUCACUAGGCGCCGCACAUGCACGCUGUUGGGUCCUGAGGGACCGGGCCUCAUCGAAUGAUGAGAACUGGACCUCUGGACCUUUUCUUGUCGGCAUCACUUGCCGGACGGAGAAGGUACCGCCCGUACUUUGAGAACUACACAGUGGACGCGAGCAUCUUAGAUUCGAACCUUCGGGUUCGGAUCACAAAAGAUGAUCACAGUACUUAUGUACUGAUUAGAUCAUUGGUCAAUCUGCGUCGAACCUGCUCCGGUAGGUACGACGCCGAUCGAUUCAAACUCAUGUGAU